rnacentral:rRNA from 1 species
GAUGAACGCUGGCGGCGUGCCUAACACAUGCAAGUCGAGCGAACGGACGAGUAGCUUUCUUCUCUGAUGUUAGAGGCGGAAGGGAGAGUAACACGUGGACAACCUACCUAUAAGACUGGGAUAACUUCGGGAAACCGGAGCUCAUACCGGCUAAUAUUUUAAACCGCAUGGUUCAAAAGUGAAAGACGGUCUUGCUGUCACUUAUAGAUGGAUCCGCGCUGCAUUAGCUAGUUGGUAAGGUAACGGCUUACCAAGUCAACGAUGCAUAGCAGACCUGAGAGGAUGAUCAGCCACACUGGAACUGAGACACGGCCCAGACUCCUACGGGAGGCAGCAGUGGGGAAUCUUGCGCAAUGGGCGAAAGCCUGACGGAGCAACGCCGCGUGCAGGAUGAAGGUCUUCGGGUCGUAAACUUCUGUUGUAAGGAAAGAACAGAUGUGUAAGAAACUGGGCACGUCUUGACGGUACCUAAUGAAUAAGCCACGGCUAACUACGUG